AAGGAACUUAGGAAGGAUUCAUUGAGAUUUGAGACUCAAGAAAUAAACAAAAAUCAUGUCAACUCCAGAAGAUAUCGAUUGGGAGGAGGAGAUCCAACUUCAUCCUGGUAAAAGAGAAGAAAUACGUUCUUGUCACCCUAAUCUUAGAGAAUCGAUUGCUACUCAAGCAAGGACUACCUUUCCGGGGGCAUGAUGAAUCAAAGACAUCCUUAAACAAAGGGAACUACAGGGAAGUUUAUGAUUGCUUAGCUCAACAUGAUGCAGCUUUAGCCAAGGC